rnacentral:rRNA from 1 species
UACGAAGGGGGCUAGCGUUGCUCGGAAUGACUGGGCGUAAAGGGCGCGUAGGCGGAUGGCACAGUCAGAUGUGAAAUUCCCGGGCUUAACCUGGGGGCUGCAUUUGAUACGUGUGAUCUAGAGUGAGGAAGAGGGUCGUGGAAUUCCCAGUGUAGCAGUGAAAUGCGUAGAGAUCAUGAGGAAGACCAGUGGCGAAGGCGGGUCUCUGGACAGUUCCUGACACUGAGACACGAAGGCCAGGGGAGCAAACGGG